rnacentral:pre_miRNA from 1 species
AGACGACUCAAGGGGGCAUCGCCAUCGCAGCCGAUGCUCCCUUGAGUCGUCUCGA